CAGAGCGUAGCUAAGUCAGAAAAGCGCCUCCCUUACACUGAGAAGACACCCGUGCAAUUCGGGUCGCCCUGA
rnacentral:tRNA from 1 species